UCCAACUGUGCCAGAACGUAGAAUGGGUCCUGGUCUUUCUCUUACAUGGUGCCAGCGAACGUAGAAUGGGUCCCACUGGUCUUACAUUCCGUACCGUACAUAUCACAUCGUCACAUCAUGGAUCGAGGGCUAUGGAUCAUCCAACAUUCAUCCACAUCAACAUUAAAAUGUGCAAUGCAACAUAUUCGUGGAUUCUAAUGCAAACAACCUAAACAUCACAUGGCAUUCAUGAUGCAUGAACAUGCUCAAAACUGUAUAAUCGAUUUACUUAAGAAAACAUAAAGGUUUAUUCCACUCACCUCUGGAUAGCUCUGACCAGACACUAGAGCAGCUGACUCACUGCUGGGGUCCUCGGU
rnacentral:lncRNA from 1 species